CAACCAGAUUGGACCGAUAACUCCGUCCUCCUGGACAUGUAGCUCCCUUGGAGAAUGGAUGCGGACAGAUGCUCAGCUGGAUUGGGACUGACAUCUCUUUCAAUGCUCCAAGGCUUUUCGAUCUCUCCGGUGUUGGUUUUGUGCUGGCUCUGUUAAGAGCUGCCCAGCUAACUCGGUCACCCGAGAGACUUCAUUCUCUGUGAAAGUCAGCCAACCAUUCCUGCUAAUGAAAACAGAAUCCAGCCCCAAAACCUGCCGGGAACCCGAGUCAAAGAAGACAAAAGGCAGAUAAGGGUAUCCAUAUCAAUAACACAGAUUUUAUCAAAAUCCAUGCCUGCUGCACAGUUGCUGCCUUUCCAUAAAUCUC